UACAUAGGGGGCGAGCGUUGUCCGGAUUUAUUGGGCGUAAAGAGCUCGUAGGCAGCUUGGCAAGUCGGGUGUGAAAACUCCAGGCUCAACCUGGAGACGCCACUCGAUACUGCCAUGGCUAGAGUCCGGUAGGGGACCACGGAAUUCCUGGUGUAGCGAUGAAAUGCGCAGAUAUCAGGAGAAACACCGGUAACAAAAGCGGUGGUCUGGGCCGGCACUGACGCUGAGGAGCGAAAGCGUGGGUAGCAAACAGG
rnacentral:rRNA from 1 species